CAUUUGUACAUUAAUUUUCUUUAAAUAAACCCUGUGUCUCUGUGGCACUAUACAUUUUUUAUAAAAGGUUUGUUUUGAGCGACACAUCCAUAACGAUACAAUGACAUUGACUCAACUAAUGGCAUGAGUUGGGGUCGGGACUAUCUAUUUGUGUGAUCAACAGAAAACACGGGGCGUAUCCAGAAAGCUGUUUGAAAACAAUUAUUUUAGCAAUUCCGUUUGGUGGUGCAGAAAUUUCUUCAGCUUUAAGUGUGUUAUUUGUUUAUUUUCUGCUAGUGGCCUAAAUUUGACCUUGGAGUCCCCGUUUGUAGAAAAAUGCACAGAGAGGGCAAGACUCCAACGGAAGGUGUCCAGUCGGAGGCUGCCAUCUGUGGACGCGCUUGACGAGGCUGUGCAGAGAUGUCUAGAGCAGGGCCCUAACAAAGAGCACUCUGUAUUUCAAGAUGGAAAAAACUGUAGAAGAUUCUUCAUGGCAGAAGUUCACUCUCGGUCUCGAUGUUACGGAGCUUUACGUGCAGCCUGCAAGCUCAACUGCUCAGCCGAACAAAAACAACACUUUGGUACCAUCUGCAGUGAGUGAGAGAGAACAUGAUCCUGAGAGAGAUGAAGGAGAAAACCAAGAAACUCAUGAUGGUGAAAUUCCUGACAUUCCGGAGCCUGUAAUCCAAGAAGAAAAAGAGCAUGACAUGGAGUCUCCAUCACAGGAUGAGGAGAUGGUACCUUCAUCCCAAGAGGCAGGAGACUGCAGUCUUUGAGUCCUGACGAUGACAUCGUACUUGCUCCAACGCAGGCGAUGAUGGAAUCCCUUCCUGAAUCUCUUCCUGAAUCUCAUGAUGUGGAGAUACCAGAGACCCAAACAGGAAAAAGUUGAGGAGGAGAAUGUUCUAGGGUGUGUAGAUGCAUCACAGAAUCUAGAUCGAAUAACUCGCAGAGCGCACCGCUCAGAAGGUGGAGAUGCUAUUUUAGGAGUUCCAGCAAGCUUAAGAGUCACAAAGAGUCUCUGUACUGGAUUGAACUCCAGAGAAAAUGAUCUUCUGGAUUUUGUUAACGGGAGUUUAAAGAACAUUCCUGAUGAACAGAUCAGACCACAAGACGGCCCAGUGUACACUCCUCUCCACCCUGUUGCAGAGGUCAGAACAUCUGAGCAAAUGUCGCAGCAACAUGAGGCUAGUCUGGCUGAGGAAAGUUUGCCGGAACAUGCAGGUGAUGAUGCCCCUGAGGAGAUGAACCAAUCAGAGGAAGAGGAUAUGAUUGAGUUUGAGGCAGCCAAUCAGAACUGUGAACCUCAUUCAGAUGUUUCAUAUGAAGAGGACAUGAUUGACCCUGAGCCAGCCAAGCAGAGCCCUGAACAUCAUUCAGCUGCUUCAGAUGAAGAGGACAUGAUUGACUCUGAGCCAGCCAAUCAGAGCCCUGAACCUCAUUCACCUACUUCAGAUGAACAGGAAGAUGGCAUGAUAGAGCCUGAGCCAGCCAAUAAGAGCCCUGAACCUCAUUCACCAACUUCAGAUGAACAGGAAGAAGAUGAUGAUGACGCUUGUAGUGCAGAACUGUCCAUGAAAACUCCUGCUUUUGUAUGACAGAAGAGAGUGAUCGCAAGUCCAAGUGCUCAGACCACACACUCAGUCCUUAAACAAUUGAAUGCUGGUCCUGCCCCUCAGGUUGCCAAAUGAGCCCCCAGACUGAAGCGUCAGAGAGGCAACAGUGUUCUUCCCAAGAGUUACAUCAUGAGUGUGUUCAAACACUUCGCUAAGACAAAGGUGGCCAGUGACGUCUACCCUGCCAUAAAUGAAGUGUAUGUAAACCAGUUGAGUCACAUUCAAUGAAGAACUGUUUUUAAAGGAAUACAUAAGUGAAAAGUGACUUCUCUUUAGCUACAGUAUGUUUAAGCAAAAGCAUAUAAGUGACCAGGGGCUGUCCAGCUCCGGAAGAAGGACAAAAUUAUAUAUUACUGUAUUUAGGCGAUAUUUGCUAAAAAUCGUCCCCUACACAGUAGCUCUCAAAUGUAAUUAAUGCUUAUUAUGCAUACUCAAACAUGCUGCGACGCAUUGUUAUGAGUCAUUUGAAAACCAAUGUCAUUUAACAUCAUUGUCAUCAAUCCUGGUGCAGCAUGUCUUUACAUGCCAUGCUUAUAUUCACACAAAUGAGAUUUUAGAGGUAUGCCUAGUAAGUAACUACUCGCACAAAGCUUUGUUUUAGAGUACUUGGAAUGUAGCGUUCUAGUCUUUUAUGGUGCUGUUUUUAGUCAUUUUUGGAGCUUGAUGCAAUCUGUCCACAUUUACUUUCAUUUUAGGAAAAAAGCAGCAUAGACGAAUGUUUUUAAAAAUGUUCGAAACAUCUCUCUUUGUGCUAGCUAAAAGGAAAGCUUACAGGUUGCAAUGAAAUUAGGAUGAUUAAAUUGUAUAUUUAUAUUUUAUUUUGGGGUGUACAUCUCGAAAGGACAAUAUUUGUGAUAUUUUUUCCCGUAGUCUUAAGAAAUACUUCGAUCGGCUAGCCGACGAUCUGGCGGCAUACGCUGCGCACGCCAAACGUAAAACCAUUGAAGUUGAUGAUUUUGAGCUGCUCAUGAGAAGGUAACAUUUAUCUAAUAGGUUCAUAACUUAUUCUUUUUUAAGCAUGCAUUUAAUGCUUUUUCAUUUGGUCUUUCUCAGGCAGAGGUUUGUGACAGACAGCACGCCUGCAAAAAUACUGAUAGAGAAAUAUCUUUCACUGGAAUAUCGCAAACUUCUCAUUCCCAUUGCAACCAGUGGAAACAAAGUCAUCCCGAUUCGAAGGAGGUGAACGAUGGAUGGGACAACUUUGCAUAUCAGAUUGUCUUGUAAAUAUGUUCUCACAAUGUUUACAAUAUAAAUACCCUGUUUUAUAGAUAAGGAUGAUUUGUUAAUAUAUAUCUACUAUUUGUUUUAUGCAGCACUUUUAACAAAAGUAAUACAUGCUUGGAUCUUUGUAUUUUGGCCAUCUAUUUAUAUUUUCUUAAAGUUCUUCCAA